GAUGAAGAACGCAGCGAAAUGCGAUACGUAAUGUGAAUUGCAGAAUUCAGUGAAUCAUCGAAUCUUUGAACGCAUAUUGCGCUCUCUGGCAUUCCGGAGAGCAUGCUUGUUUGAGUAUCAGUAAACACCUCAACUUCCAUAUCUUUUUUGAAAUGGGAGUUGGACUUGAGUGAUCCCAACGCUUUUCCUCACCGAAAAGUGGCGGGUUACUUGAAAUGCAGGUGCAGCUGGACUUUUCUCUGAGCUAUAAGCAUAUCUAUUUAGUCUGCCUAAAAAACAGAUUAUUACCUUUGCUGCAGCUAACAUAAAGGAGAUUAGUUCUUGUGCUGACUGAUGCAGGAUUCACAAAGACAGGCUUCGGCCGACUUUGUAAACUCGAUCUCAAAUCAAGUAAGACUACCCGCUGAACUUAAGCAUAUCAAUAAGCGGAGGA
rnacentral:misc_RNA from 1 species